GAUGAAGAACGCAGCGAAAUGCGAUACUUGGUGUGAAUUGCAGAAUCCCGUGAACCAUCGAGUCUUUGAACGCAAGUUGCGCCCGAAGCCAUUAGGCCGAGGGCACGCCUGCCUGGGCGUCACACGUCGUUGCCCCCCCCAUCUACUCCUUCGGGAUUGCGGGGGGCGGAUGAUGGCCUCCCGUGCGCCUCGCCGCGCGGUUGGCAUAAAUGCCAAGUCCUCGGCGACGCACGCCACGACAAUCGGUGGUUGCGAAACCUCGGUUGCCCGUCGUGUGCGUUCGUCGCGCAUCGAGGGCUCGAAAAAAUGCUCGGCUCCGGCUCGGCUUUCAACGCGACCCCAGGUCAGGCGGGGUUACCCGCUGAAUUUAAGCAUAUCAAUAAGCGGAGGA
rnacentral:misc_RNA from 1 species